CUGAUUUUUGGCAUCGAGCCGGUUCUGAUGGGUCUAUCAUGUCAGGGAUUGCUCGCUACGAAAACUUGUUUUAUAUUUUUAAUUCUAACGGCUAUGUGUUUGAACAUAUUGGCUGUUUUGAACGGAUUCAAAUCGGUGAACGUUUUCAGAGGUUACGCUGGUGCGAAGAGUCAGACGACCCCGGAAGACUGGGUGAUGGUCAUAAGCAGACGAGGAAGCAGUUUCGGACCAACGGUCAAGAGGAUAAGUUCCAUUGAUUACUGGUGCAUUCAAGAAUAUUUAUUUUUUAAGUUCUUUUAGUUUCUUAACUGUAAUUAAACUUUUCUUUUAUAAUU
rnacentral:lncRNA from 1 species